rnacentral:SRP_RNA from 1 species
GCCGGGUGCGUGGCAUGUGCCUGUAAUCCAAGUCACUGGGAGGCUGAGGUUGGUGGAUCAAGUGAGCUGAGGAGCUCUGGGCUGCAGCACGCUAUGUCGAACGGGUGUCCACGCUAAGUUCGGUAUCGAUAUGGUGUUCCUGGGGAGCCCGGGACCACCAGGUUGUCUAAGGAGGGUGAACCGCCCAGGUCGGAAACGAAGCAGGUCAAAUCCCCCGUGCUGUCCAGUAGUGGGAUAAUACCUGUGAGUAGAUGCUGCAGUGCAGCCUUGGCAAAACAUCGAGACCUAAUCUUUU